rnacentral:rRNA from 1 species
UACGAAGGGGGCUAGCGUUGCUCGGAAUUACUGGGCGUAAAGGGAGCGUAGGCGGACUGUUAAGUUAGAGGUGAAAGCCCGGGGCUCAACCCCGGAAUUGCCUUUAAGACUGCAUCGCUUGAACGUCGGAGAGGUGAGUGGAAUUCCGAGUGUAGAGGUGAAAUUCGUAGAUAUUCGGAAGAACACCAGUGGCGAAGGCGGCUCACUGGACGACUGUUGACGCUGAGGUGCGAAAGCGUGGGGAGCAAACAGG